ensembl:lncRNA
AGAAACUCUACCUUAAGAGGUACAAACUCACUUGAAGAAAUGUGGUAACUAGAUAUUUCUAUGGAAAUUAGAACAGUUACAUGGCUAAUCAAUUCAGCAUGAAGUAAUAGUUCAUGGAAGACUAGAGCCUUGUGCAUCAGGAGCCACACAAGAACUUUAAGACUCCAAUGUAAAACCUAUUGGCAUGAGUUUGCUAUGUCUCUAGAGUUUAAUAUGGGAAAUGAGAAUUAAUUAAGAGGCAAAGUAUGAAGCUUAGCAGACACUAAAGAAGGAUGUUUGAAGUUAAAUGAGCCUGUCAUGCAAGUCACAGAAAGGAAACCCUCUAGAGACUUCAACUGCUACGAAGACCGAUGAUAAACAGAUCUGUGGCCUCUGGUAAAGAAAUUCAGUCAAGGUUUUGAGUCCAAAUUUUUAAAUGGCCUUUGCAAGCUAUCUAUUUGGUAAAAAAUAUUCCUAGUUGUUCAAUCAGCUCUUAAAACAUUCUUAUAGCUAUUUUAAAGCCUUGGUAUCAUUUCCAAGCCUCUGGUGUUCUAUUCUUGAUGAACACAAGGCAAAAACCUGGAGACUUCAACUUUGACACUUGCUUCUGUUUCUUAUAUCUUUGAAAAUCUGAUAACCCUCCUCAAAAAAUGAGAAGACAGGCUUUAAAUAGCAAAGAUAUAGGGCACUGGAAGAACUGACUCUUCAGUUAACACUUAGAAACAGAAGACCUCAAUUGAAGACUACCUUUUAACUACCCUCAAGCCCAAGCAGAAGAUUCUGAGGAGGGUAUGCGCCUGUGUCAUGCUGUCUAACUGGAGUAAUUUCCUAGAAUUCUUACCCUGGGAAGCAGUUUAUUAUUUUGAACCCAAUAGAAGUUGGAAUUCUUGGUUUUAAUGGUGGGGAAGCUCUUAAAACACAUCUACACUUUUGCUGUAACAACUUACAUCCAAGAAUGAGGAAUACAACCUGUUAGUCUUUAUCACUCAUUUGGGGCCCUCAGCUUCAAUGGACCUAAAUUGUGGAAGUUCUGGAAAACAUAAAAAUUGAUCUUCACAACAACCUGAAUAGGUAAGUAUUAUCUCCAAUUUGUAGAUACGAAAACUGAGGCGGCUAAUAACGGGUGAUUCCAAACCCUGUGUGCUUACUGGCACUCCUCUCAGACAAAGAGGCAGUGCUGUGUGAAGGUUAAGUUGAAUGUCACAUUGUGUGUUUGCUGAGUUUCCUUUACUAAUGACCUUGGAUGCUUCCGCAGUUUCUCAGACACCCAUAGUAACUGGCUUCCAAUAUGGCAGCACCAGGAGGGUAUAACAAUAGCACCUCCAUGUCAGGUUGGCACAGGAUAAAUGUUUGUUCGGUGCCAGGCCUACAAGAUGCUAAAAGUUCCAGAAUUAUUUUCCUUGCCCAUGGGAAGUAGAGUAUAUCACUGGAUUAUAAGGUGAAAGAUAAAGAGUCCCCAAAGGAAUAUAUAAACAUGCAACAUCAUUCCUGUGUGUGAAGACAUGGGGGAAAACAAACUAUAACACAACAUAUCUUAAAUAUUAAGGUUCUCAUAAGGAGAUACCUGCCCAAGAAGACAGAAAGAACUGUGACUUGAGUCUAUGGAUAGAUGAUGCAAUACCUAACCCUGGGUCUCAGGUAUUCUGGAAUCUACCCAUGAGACCUGGGCAUUGCUCACAUUUCACACAAGCACAGAGGGGAAAGAACUCUUCGAAUGAAAUGACUGGCUUUGACAAAACUCUCUUGUUUUUUAAAAAUGUCACUUGAUACCAAAAUACGACUUAAGAGUAUGUAAGGCCUCAGAAGUCCAGAGCGUACAACCAGUUAUCAUGCUCAGGAUCUUCAGAAUUCUAGAGGCACAUGUUGGAACACAUCCCAUCCUGCUGACCUGUAGAUAAAUAUUUCUUUUAUUAAUAAACUGUACAUGUAACUUAAAUUAAGUUUAUUUUUGAG